GGGGUGUACUCAGAGCAAGGGACCUGAAGAAUGGCUCCUCUGUUUAUGACAUGCCCAGAAGGAAUCGGGGGUCAUCGCCAUGAAGGGCACAAAACUUGUGACCUCCCUAUGAACAAAUUCCUCACGUGU
ensembl:snoRNA